rnacentral:rRNA from 1 species
UUUAAAGAGAGUUUGAUCCUGGCUCAGGACGAACGCUGGCGGCGUGCCUAAUACAUGCAAGUCGAACGAACGGAGGAAGAGCUUGCUCUUCCAAAGUUAGUGGCGGACGGGUGAGUAACACGUGGGCAACCUGCCUGUAAGUUGGGGAUAACUCCGGGAAACCGGGGCUAAUACCGAAUGAUAAAGUGUGGCGCAUGCCACGCUUUUGAAAGAUGGUUUCGGCUAUCGCUUACAGAUGGGCCCGCGG